CGACAUGUGUCCAAGGACUCUGGUUGUAGCCAUGGGAUCUCCAACUAAUGUGAGAGCAACCUGGAGAGGUUUUGACAGCUCAGGUCAGCAUAAUUCCUGCAGUUGCCACAUGUCUUUCCUCAAUCC